GCAAAACAUAAUAUUUGCAAUAGCAAACUAGAAUCUUCCUUUUAUUAAUUUUGCCCAUUUCUUAUACCUAGCCCCUAACCCUUUUCACUUUUACUUUUCCAACAAACAGAUCUCUCUCUCUCUCUCACUAAGAUUGUGAUGAGAAGAAGCAGUCAACAAUGCCGGAGCUGCUAGGGUUUGAUUAUCAGAACCAGCCGAGAUCAUCCGCAUUUAGACCUCGAGACCCCAGCCCCGAUUUCGUCAUCUUCACCGUCGAAUCCAACUUCAGCCUCUUCUCUUUCGUUUCUGGUAGCAUCGAUCGUUGCUCCUUUGCGUCCAAUGUUCACGAUCACGAUGCUUUCGUCUCCCAACACACUCAGUUGAUGAUAUUGGUGAUGUAACAAUUACUGAUGAUGGUGCUAUAAUACUCAAGAUGUUAGAUGUUGAGUAUCUUGCUGCAAAGGUGGAAGAAUAAAGCAUCCAUUUGGCUGAGCUUCAAGACCGAGAAGUUGGAAAUGAGACAACUUCUGUGAUUAUUAUAUCAGUCAAGUGAUCCAGCAGAUAAUGAUGCAUGGAAAGAUAAAGGCACUGGUCAGCUUUCUAUCAAAUGUAAAGAGGGUGUUAACAAGGGCACAAGACAAUUCAAGCCAACAAUUCUUGUUUGAAAUGAUGUAUCUUUCUUCUAACUGUUUUUGCUCCUUGAAGUUGAGUUCAGUUUGAAAUCUUAAGUUUGUAAUGCAUCUCUGAUAUUCUUUAGUUCUUUUUAGUGCAGUACCUUACCUUUCUAUGCAUAAAUCUAUGAAGGUGCCAUCAACUCCUAACUUUUGUUUAAUUGGUUGAUUUUUUGAAUA